rnacentral:lncRNA from 1 species
GAUGGAUUGGUGUGGUUCCUCUACGCCUAGGACACCUGAAUAUCGAACCAUGAACGAAGAAAGGCAUGAGAGAAAAGCAUAUUGGCUAGUGAUUGUGAGGCCCCAAUUCUUGACUGGAGGGGACACCAAAGGCUGGUUCCUCUACGCCUAGGACACCUGAAUAUCGAACCAUGAACGAAGAAAGGCAUGAGAGAAAAGCAUAUUGGCUAGUGACUGU